UGGAGACCUGCUUGUACAUGGAGCAGGGAGAGUUCCCUAUAUCACAGUUUUGACAGGAAUAUUUGGGCAAUUCAGGCUGCUAUUGCAGGCUAGUGUGUGCUCUGAAUGCCUGGAGAUUUGCUGUGGCUUGUGGGGAGGGUCCCACUGCACCAAGAUCUCUGCACGAUUGGGUGGACUGACUCAGGGUGUUAAUCCAAGUAGACAGUUGCUCUGAAUGCCUGGAGAUCUGCCUGGGUGUGUAGCUGACAGCCUCCUUCCCCCUCAUACAUGGAUCUCUGCACAAGAAAUGGUGAUGCAGCUUAUGCUGCUGAUUAAGGUGAACUGGUGCUUCGAAUGCCUGGAGAUCUGCCUGGGUUUGGCACAGAGAGGGCCUCACUGCACCAUGAUCUAUGUUCAGAAUGUGUGAAGUGGCUCAGGCCACUGAGCCAGAUGAGUAGGUACUGUGAAUGCCUGGAGAUCUGCUUGAGCAUGAAUCUGAGACGGCCUCCUUGCACUGGGAUCUCUGCACAGGAAGUGUAGGGCAGCUCAGGCUAGUGAUCCAGGUGACUAGGUACUCCAAAUCCCUGGAUAUCUGAAUGUGCAUGGAGUGGAGAAGGACCCAUGGUACCUCAAUCUACAUAUGGGAAGGUUGACAUGGCUCAGGCUGCUGAACUAGGCACAUGAGUGCUCGAGAUUCCUGGUGAUCUGUCUGGUAAAAGGGCAGAGAGGGUGUUGCUGUACCCUGAUCUAUUUCCAUAAACUGUGGGGCAACUCAGCCUUCUAGUCCAGGCAAACAUGUGCUUUAAAUGCCUGGAUUUCUGCCUGGGAUGGAUUAGAGAGGGUCCUGCUGCACCACAAUUUCCGGUGAGCAGUAUGGGGCACCCAGCAAUGUCACAUACAGACCAGUUCCAGGACAGCAAGCUAGGCUUGGCUGAAAUCUUACUGCUCAAAAGAAUCUGCAAUGCUACCUGCUCUCCUCCUGCCCCAGGCUUGCAACAGGUGAAAACAAAUUUCCAGCUCCUACUGCUGAGACUCUUUCCGUAAUUCUGGCUGUGGUGGCUCCUUCCCCACACUUGAGCAGGCGCUUCUGUCUCUGGCCCGAGACUAAAAUGCCUGCAUGGCCAUGCUGCCAGGUUGCUAAAGAAUGGCUAAAUUUAUAUGCACUCAUAUUAAAAAUGGCAUCCUGCACUUGGUCCUGGGUCUGAGGAAAUGUCUACACCUUUUCCCAGUGUCUUUUCUUCAUGAUGUCUCCAAGCCUCUCCCCAAGUUAACUCAAGGGCUAGGGAAAAUCAAAUUGCUCUACCAUGGCAUGGGUUGCUCUGAUCACCAGUAGAGAGGUGAAUCACAGAGGGAAGCUCUCUGCCUCUCUUACAUACCUGGGCUUUACUCAUUUUUAUCAGGUGGACACUGUUACAGUGGUUGUUUGUCAGCUUUAUCAGAGGACACUGUUACAGUGGUUGUUUGUCAGCUUUAUCCUCACUGGGAUCUGGGUUGUCCUUCAUGAUUCAGUGGAUUCCCAUUUUACUUCUUGGAUUAAAGCUCACAGAGUUGAUCUUUAUACAUUAUCUUGCUAUUUUCAAGUGGCCAAGGCAUGCUAAAAGCCUCUAAUCUGCCACGCUGAUUAAAAAAUUGGCGUCUUUUUUAAUGUAGUUAUUUAUUGUUACAAUCUUCCCUCAGAACUGCUUUCGCUGCAUCUUAUAAGUUUUGAUAUGUUGUGUUUCUUAAUAUAUUUUUUAUUUUCCUUUUUGAAUUGCUACUUUGAUUCAUGAUUGUUUAUGAGCAUGUCAUUUAAUUUCCACAUACUUGUGAAUUUUCCUUCUUUUAUUGAUUUCUAGUUUCAUAACAUUGUGGUCAGAAAAGAUACUUGAUAUGAUUUCAGUGUUCUUAAGUAUUUUGGGACUUAUUUUCUGGCCUAACAUAUAAUAUAUCCUGGAGAAUGUUUCCUGUGUGCUUGAAAAGAAUGUGUGUUCUGUUGCUGUUAGAUGGAAUGUUCUUUAUGUCUAUUAGGUCUGUUUAGUAUAUAGUUCAAGUCCAGUGUUCUCUUAUUGAUUUUCUGUUUAGAUGAUCUGCCCAUUGUUGUGGGGCAUUAAAGUUCUCAACUGUUACUGUACUGCUGUGCAUUUCUCCCAUCAGCCCUGUUAAUAUUUUAAAAAUAUACUAAUUUCUCCAAUGUUGGGUGCAUAUAUAUUUACAUUUGUUGUGUCCUAUUGAUGUGUUGUCCUCUUUAUCAUGAUAUAAUAACAUUUUUUAAUCUCUUGUUACAGUUUUUGACUUAAAAUCUGUUUUGUUAGGUAUAAGUAUAGAUACCCCUGCUAUGCUUUUGGUUUCCAUUUUCAUAGAAUAUCUUCUCCUCUCCCUUCACUUUAAGUGUUUGCACGUGUAUCAGGCUGUUCUUGUAUUACUAUAAAGAAAUACCUGAGACUGGUUAAUUUUUAAAGAAAAGAGAUUUAAUUGGUUUGCUGUUCUUGCAGGCUAUACAAGCAUGAUGACAGUACCUGCUCGGCUUCUGGUGAGCUUUUACUCAUGGCAGAGAGCAAAGUGGAAGCAGUAAGUCACAAAGUGAAAGCAGGAGCAAGGAAGGGGGAAGUGCCACACUUUUAAACAACCAGAUCACUUGAGAACUCAUUUACUGUCAUGAGGACAACACCAACUCAUGAGAGAUCCUCCCCUACAAUCCAAACACCUUUCACCAGCCUCAUCUCCAACAUUGGGUAUUACAUUUCAACAUGAGAUUUGGGCAGGGACAAAUACCCAAGCUCUAUCAUUCUGCCUCUGGCACCCCCAAAUCUCAUGUCCCUCUCCCAUUGCAAAAUAAAAUCACGCCUUCCUAAUUGUUCCCCAGGUCUUAACUUAUUCCAGCAUCAAUUCAAAAGUCCAAAGUCCAAAGUAUGCUCAGAUAUCACAAUUUCCUUCUGCCUAUGAGCCUAUAAAAUAAAAAACAAAUUAUUUAUUUUCAAGAUACAAUAGGAAUACAGGCAUUGUAUAAACAUUCCUAUUCCAAAAAUGAGAAAAGAAAGGGGCUACAGUCCCCAUUCAAGUUCAAAACCCAGCAGGGUAGCUGUUACAUCUUAAAAGGUCCAAAAUAAUCUCCAUUGACUCCCUUUCCCAUAUCAAAGGCACUUCUGCAAGUCUCAGAGUCUAAAGGCUGAAAAACCUGGAGUCUGAUGUCCAAGGGCAGGAGGAGAGGAAGCAAGCAUCUGACAUGGAAAGAAAGUGGGAGCCAGAAGACUCAGCAAGCAAGACUACCCCCAUGACUUCUUCCACCUAGGUCUUCCUCUUCCAGUCCACUGACCCAAAUGUAAAUUUCCUUUGGCAACAUCCUCACAGACACACCCCAAAACAAUACUUUGCCAGCCAUCUAGGAAUCCUUUAAUCCAGUCAGGAUGACAACUAAUGUUAACCAUCACAGCAUUUUCUAAAGGUAAUGUGAGUCUCUUGUAGACAUAAUGCUAUGUUUUUUGAUUUGUGAAUUUUAAUCCAUUUUCAUCUAUAGCAAUUAUUGGUAGGUAAGAAUUCACUAUUGCCAUUUCAUUAAUUAUUUUCUGAUUGUUUUAUAGAUCCUUAACUCCUUUCUUUCUCUCUUGUUGCCUUCUUCUGUGAUUUGAUGAUUUUUCUGUAGUGGUUUGCUUUGAUUCCCUUGUCUUCUAUGUAUCAACUAUGGGUUUUUGUUUUGUGGUUAUGAUGAGGCAUGCAUAAAACAUCAUAAAACAUCUUAUAGUUUUACAAGCCUGUUUUAAGUUAACAACAACUUAACUUUAGCAUAUAAAAGCUGUGCACUUUUACUAUCCCUCCCACAUUUUAUGUUUUUGAUAUCACAAUUCACAUCGUUUUAUAUUGUGUAUCAUUAACAAAUUAUUGUAUCUAUAGUUAUUUUUAAUACUUUUGUCUUUUAACCUUUAUAAUAGAGCUAUAGGUAAUUUAUUCACCACCAUGACAGUAUUUGAAUAUUCUGAGCACAAAUUCACUUUAAUAGUGAGUUUUAUGCUUUCACGUGUUUUUAUGGUACUAAUUAGUGGCUUUUCUUUUUUUUUCUUUUUAUUAUACUUUAAGUUUUAGGGUACAUGUGCAC
rnacentral:lncRNA from 10 species